GUGAAUCAUCAAAUUUUUGAACGCAAAUUGCACUCUCCUCGGAGAGUAUGCCUGUUUGAGAGUCAGCCUAUUAAAACUCGACAUCGUUGCUGAUUAGCGGUGACGUUCGUCGGAAAUUGGGUCAUCUUAAAUCCUAUUGGUUUUAAGAGACUUAAAAUUUUCUUUUUGGUUCCAUGAACGUUCCUAAGAUUUAUUUCUUUACACGUUUAAGGGUAUAGAUUUUUAUUAGACGUGACCAUCAUAUCGGAUCGCGUCCAUAAUCUUUCAUUAACUGAC
rnacentral:misc_RNA from 1 species